AAAUCCGUUGACUUUUAAAAUCGUGAGGGUUCAAGUCCCUCUAU
rnacentral:tRNA from 4 species